UGUUGUGGUCUAAUAUAAUGUUCCUGUUGAGAAAGCAGUCAAGAGAGGAGAAACAUAAUCGUCUAUCUUAGGAAAGUAAAUAAAAGAAAGAAAAGGUUCCCCAUCUUGUCAUUGGCUCAGGGGAAAUAGAAUCAGCCAUUAUUCAAUUCCAGCCUUCAAGGUGACAACACCUUAUAAUAUCACAAGAGAAUUUUUAUAUGCUAAUAACCUUUUGGUGCACUAUAAAUACCUCUCUCCCUUCAUGCACAAACUUAUCAGCUUAGCUAUCUAUAUAUCUGUGUUUUCAUUGCUUUCCCAUCAAAUUAAACCCCCUUCGUUUUCGAUCGUGUGGUUUAUAUUGUGUUAGGGUAGGGUAAUCUGCAUCCUGAGGUCUAGAUCAGUGUUUUCGCCAGGCCAGAUUCUAGGCCACGGGAAGCAGAUUACCUCUUCCUAACUAACAAUGCAAAGAGGUUUGUUACUACUCAAUCAUGGUGGCUAUGGCUGAAAGGUUGGUCUGUUGUAUUUGUGCAGAAGUUCCUUGCUCAUGUAAAAGUGGAUCAUCUACCAUGCUUUAUGCAGAAGUUCCUUGCUCUUGGGGAGAUCUUGAUGCGUCCUAAUUGGCUAUUGAUAGGAAUCCGGGCCAAUAUAUAAAACUUGAGUCAAAUAAGUUAGCGUUUAAGGGUUUAUGGUGUAGUUAAGGUUUGGGUUCAUAUCAGAUUUGUAUUCGCACGAAAAAAGAUGACUUCAUAUAUAUGUUUCUUCUUGGAUAAUCUGCAGGUAGCUAUAGGCUUAGUAUAGCUUCUGAAAGGAGUUAAGCAGCCAUGAAUAUGUAUAGUUGCAUGCAAUUAACUUCAUAUGGUGUUAAAUAGAGUUAAAUAGUGGUGAAUUGGGACCAUCCUAACCAAGUUGUUCAAACCAUUGAAUUGAUAAUCACAAAUUUUCAAGUUCGAUUUA